AUUUAUAGCUCAAAAAUUCUUGCUUAUAGUCCAACUAAUUUUUUGCAAUUUUAAUUAUAAUCUAGGUGCAAAUAAAAAUAAGGACUCCUUAGAAUGCUGUAGUUUAGGGAUUGGCUAACAUUUUCUUUAAUGGAUGAAAGAGUAAAUAAUUUAAUUUGUACAGGUCAUGAAUCCUGUUGCAACUACUCAACCCCAGUUUUGUAGUAAAAAAAGGAGCCACAGACAAUGUGCAAAUGAAUAAGCAUCGCUGUGUUCUCUAAAACUUCACUUACAAAAUUAGACAGUGGGCUGGACUUGGCCCUUGGGCUAUAGUUGUCUCACUCCUAUCCCAUUUAUUGAUCCUAUCUCUAUAUUCCCUGGUACCCUGGUACACCUAAUAUGGAUACUUGCCAAGAUAAGGCCAUGAAAAAUAUAAGUGAAUAUGAAUUGCUUGAGUGUAUAUUAGAUUUAUGUGUAUGUAUGUAUCUCACAUGGGUUGGGGGAGGUGAAAAUAGAAUAUAAAAAUGCUCCUAAAACAACUGAAUCUGUAGCUUCUGUCUUUGAAGUUACACUGAGUUGUUAGAGAGUAACAAGAAUCAGCUCUGCACAGGAGGUAUGCAUACCACCUUAAAGUUACCAAUGCAGAGAAUGAAUGCUUAUUUUUAAUCACUGACAAGAAACACCAAAUCUGAUGAUCUACUCUUCCAAAUAUUAGUAUUAUUUGUAGGCAAUUUACAUUUAAUUAGGAAUAAGGAAGGAAGAGGUAAAGUUACUGGAUGGAGCAGCCUUUUAUUGUGUGAAGUGUUCCUCUUUGUUAAGAUGAACUAAUCUCAUUGUCUAAUGUUGAGACAUUAAACGAUGUAGGUAACUGCUUAUCCUGUCCACCUACAUUACCUUCUUUGUGCCACAGAUAAUCUGGCAGGGACUGCACGUUGUUCCUCAGUGUCUACUUACUCUUUCUGCCUUUUGGUAAUAGAACCACCCCCACAUAUUUUAGGUGGCAUAUUUUUACCCCACUACCUUGAUGCCAAGGGGAUGAGUGGCAUUGAUAUGUGCAAGUUAAAGUUGGUCUUUUGGAUAAAUCUCUCUUUCAAAUUUUCAGCUAUAUUAGUUCUUACACUAGUUGUUGUUUGAACCCUCUCCAAAUUCUUUAUUUCUUUUUCUAAAGGUGGAAAAUUAGAGAGGUAUAAAGGAAAAAAUAUUCCCCCGGAUGCUAUAAACUACUAU
rnacentral:lncRNA from 1 species